AGUAAAUAACAGAAAGAAAGGAAGACAGACCAACGGUAAUGCAUAUGCAAAUGGCGAUGAGCAUGCAACUGAAAUCCUUUAUCCCUGUUCUCCUACAAAGACAUCCCCAAAUCCUUAAUUUUCCGAACAAACAUUCAACAGUCACCUGUUGCUCUCUUCGCAAUUCAGACCUUCUUGUAUCUCAGACUCAGAGACUUGUCCACCACUUCAAUCCCAAGACUCCCAUAGAGGAAGCUGUUACACCGCCAACAUCAUGGUACACUGACCCCUCCUUCUUCCAGCUUGAGCUCGACCGUGUCUUCUACAGGGGUUGGCAAGUUGUGGGUCAGUUUUAUUUUCCCCAAAGAUUCAGUCUUUUUCUUGGGUAUCUUUGUUUUGCUUUCUUUCCCUGCUGAGAAUACCGAGGAAAACAAAUUGUAGGCGUAGAAUUUCAAUCCAAUAAUUAGCUUCGAUGGUUGAAAAGAAAAAAAGAUAUUAUUAUUUUUAUUAUGUGUGUUAUUUGGUGAAAUAUCUUCGGAGGAAAGAAAGAAAGAUGAUGCCUGACAAUAUGAAUCUGAGUAUCUAUGAGUGCAUAUGGUUCAUUAUUUACUUUUAAUUGAGAGGGUGAAUUACACAGGAACUGUAUUCCGUGGUUUGUAUGAAAUUCACUUCAUCUUCGUUUUAGUGUCACAAGUUUCCCUUGUAUUUUUUAAUGUAAAGGAUGUACACCGUUAUCUCUGCUUGCACUUACGAUCCUCCUUUUUGAGAGUAAAGCUAGUGAGUGAGACCUAGUUCUAGACAUUGCUAAAUGUCUUUUCAAUUAUGUCUCAUAGAAUUUACCUUGUAGAAUCUUUUGUCAGAGAGAAAUUCUCAAUUUUCAGUCAAUUUGGCUUAUCAGGAUCGACGGAGCAGAUAAAGAAUCCCCUUGACUUUUUCACCGGAAGGUAAUUUUUUUUUUAAAUUAUUUAUAAUAAUCCAUCUUGUAAUUUGUUGUACUACCUAUGUUGUUAACAAAGUUGUCUAGUUGCAGCUCCAUUUGGUUCUUGGAAGGGUUAAAGGAUAUUUAGGAGUGACUUCUUAAGUUGAGCACUCUAUUCAUUUUCUUUUCUUCCAAGUUUCUGAGAACCAACUGGAGAUUAAAUAUUGCAGACUAGGAGAUGUGGAAUUUGUGGUAUGUCGAGAUGACAGUGGCAAGAUUCGUGCUUUUCACAAUGUCUGUCGUCAUCAUGCCUCUCUUCUUGCUUCUGGAUGUGGACACAAGUCCUGCUUUGUCUGCCCUUAUCAUGGAUGGACAUAUGGGUUAAAUGGAGCACUUCUUAAGGCAACUAGAAUAUCAGGAAUGCGGAAUUUCAAUGUAAAUGAUUUUGGCCUUCUACCAAUCAAAGUAGCCACCUGGGGGCCUUUUGUUCUUCUCAAUUUGGAAAAAGAGAGUCUUCCUCAGAAGGAAGUUGAUAGUCAUAAUGUGACAAAGGAAUGGCUUGGUAGCUGUUCAGAAAUACUGAGUACCAAUGGAGUUGAUUCUUCUCUAAGCUAUGUCUGUAGACGUGAAUACACCAUUGAAUGCAAUUGGAAGGUAUUCUGUGAUAACUACUUAGAUGGUGGCUAUCAUGUCCCAUAUGCGCAUAAAGGCCUAGUAUCUGGUCUUAAGCUUGAUUCAUAUUCUAUCACAGGAUUGCUUAUGUAGUUAUGUUCUAAAGGAUGAUUAUGAAUGAGACAGAUGUUUGAAAGGGUUAGCAUCCAAAGUUGUGAAGGCAGCUCGGAGAAAAGCAAAGAGAAUUAUGAUCGACUUGGAAGAAACGCUAUAUAUGCUUUCAUUUACCCAAACUUCAUGAUUAAUAGGUAUGGACCUUGGAUGGACACCAAUCUUGUGCUUCCACUAGGACCCAACAAAUGUCAAGUAAUAUUUGACUACUAUCUUGAGCACUCUCUAAAGGAUGACAGAGAUUUUAUAGAGAAAAGUUUACAAGAUAGUGAGAAAGUGCAGAUAGAAGAUAUUGUAUUAUGUGAAGGUGUCCAGAAGGGUUUGCAGUCCCCAGCAUAUUCUGUGGGCAGAUAUGCUCCAACGGUUGAGCAGGCCAUGCACCAUUUUCAUUGUCUGCUCUACGAAAACCUUGCAAAAUAAAUCCCCUGUUCAUUACGGAUAAUAAACAAAUCACUGCAGCACCAAAGCACAACGACCCAUCCGUGUAUUGGGUGUUUGUCUGAAUUUGAAAUUGAUGCACGGCCCUCCACUAGAGAGGAUUUUUAAUUUUAAUCAAACACCAUCUUGUAUUUCUGGCUUAUCUGACUUGCAAUGGGUGUGGCUAUACGAAUCUCUUACUGAACACGGUAGUUUUUGGUGAACAUGUCUCACUUGCAAUAGUUGUGGAAUUACUGAGUAUCGUUGUUGUUUUCCUUCAAGUCAAAUUUGCUGUGUUCAACAGGACAUGUUAUGCUCCAGUUUAAAUUCCAAUCAUA